CCAGCAGUUGAGCUUGCGCACGCUGUGCAGCUCCGAGGCCUUGGCCCGGGUCAGAACCAUCUUCCGCGUCAGCUUCAUGGCGGCCGCCCAGGCCCGACCGGCGGGCGCCCCCGGCCUCCUGAUCCCGGGCGGGUGACGACUGCGCGGCGCGUGUCUCCAGGGGCGGGGCCCGCGUCGUCAGGGGCGGAUCCUGAGCCCAUUGGCGGCUCGGUGAGGAGAGCGGGGCGACGCGAGCCCGCUGGGGCCGCUUGGGCGCCGCUGACACGUUGGCUCUGCUCCUGCUCAUGCGCGGCCUAGGGCGCCCGGCUCUGACGCGAUUCUAACGCGACCCCGGAAGCGCGCAGCGAGCAGAGGGUUUCUUGCACAUCUGACACGGAUGGAUCCAGCUAGAUGUCUUGCCAACAGCUCCUGUGGCCCCACCCAGAAGCCAUGCAGCACAAAAGGACCAAAAGGACAGCUAGAUUUCAUCUCGCACCUAACCAAUCAGCACUCCCCAUGCUCUAGCCCCCUGUUCACCAAACUACCUUUAAACAACCCCUAACCUAUGAGCCUUCAAUUGUAACCGAGCAGCUUAGCAGCUGUGAAUCCAAAAUAUCUGAGACAGGACUCAAUCUGUUUAGAAAGUUUAUUUUGUCAAGGUUAAGGACAAGCCCAUGACACAGCCUCAGGAGGUCCUGACGACACGUGCCCUGGGUGGCUGGGGCACAGCUUGCUUUCAUACAUUUUUAGGGAGACAUGAGACAUCAAUCAAUAUGUGUAAGAUGGAAAAAGAGGAAAAAAUAUAUGUAUAAGAUGUACAUUAAGCCGGGCGCAGUGGCUCACGCCUAUAAUC
rnacentral:lncRNA from 1 species